rnacentral:misc_RNA from 1 species
GAUGAAGAACGUAGCGAAAUGCGAUAAGUAAUGUGAAUUGCAGAAUUCAGUGAAUCAUCGAAUCUUUGAACGCACAUUGCGCCCUCUGGUAUUCCGGGGGGCAUGCCUGUUCGAGCGUCAUUAUAACCACUCAAGCUCUCGCUUGGUAUUGGAGUUCGCGAUCUCGCGGCUCCUAAAAUCAGUGGCGGUGCUUGUCGGCUCUACGCGUAGUAAUACUCCUCGCGAUUGAGUCCGGUAGGUUUACUUGCCAGCAACCCCCAAUUUUUACAGGUUGACCUCGGAUCAGGUAGGGAUACCCGCUGAACUUAAGCAUAUCAAUAAGCGGAGGA